rnacentral:rRNA from 1 species
UAGGGAAUCUUCCACAAUGGACGAAAGUCUGAUGGAGCAACGCCGCGUGAGUGAAGAAGGGUUUCGGCUCGUAAAACUCUGUUGUUAAAGAAGAACAUAUCUGAGAGUAACUGUUCAGGUAUUGACGGUAUUUAACCAGAAAGCCACGGCUAACUACGUCGCA